CAAAAACAAGUCAUCCUUCAUCAGCUUCGAUUCACAUGUCAUGUUCCAUGCGUAACAAUGGCAGUCAGCAAGCUCCAUCUGGAAGCAAAGGACGCGUCGUGCGUGGAGCGACGGAGAGGAACUCUUCUUGCUGGGAAUAAUGAAGGAGUUGGUAGCUACUGGCUGGAAGUCCGAUAACGGCUUCAGAUCUGGGUAUCAAAUGAAAGCGGAAGAGGCAAUGCACCGAGAGUUUCCGGGGACUGAUUUGAAAGCGAACCCUCACAUCCAAUAGAGAAUUCACACCUGGAAGAAGAGCUUCUAUGCUCUGUUAAAGAUACUAGAUCGAAGUGGUGUCGAAUUCAAUGUUCACUGUGACUAUAAGAUCGACGUAAGCGAAGAUCAAUGGAGCGAAAUUGUUAAGGUACUUG